CACGUAGGGGGCAAGCGUUGUCCGGAUUUAUUGGGCGUAAAGGGCGCGUAGGCGGCUUGGCAAGUGGAUGGUGAAAUCCCUCGGCUUAACCGAGGAACUGCCGUCCAAACUGCUUCGCUUGAGACCGGGAGAGGUGAGUGGAAUUCCCAGUGUAGCGGUGAAAUGCGUAGAUAUUGGGAGGAACACCAGUGGCGAAGGCGGCUCACUGGACCGGUACUGACGCUGAUGCGCGAAAGCGUGGGGAGCAAACGGG
rnacentral:rRNA from 1 species